ensembl:lncRNA
GCUUAUCAGAGGAGCCAGGACCCACCUCCCACCUGGGAAGGGCCACCUCAGGCACUGGGUCUAGCCCAACAUCCCCAGGGGCUCAACCACCACCAAGGCCUGUAGAGGUACUGAGAGGCCUCAGCCCUUUCAGCCUGGCCUGGCAUUGGGCCUCUGACUCCCCCUGCUGGCAACCGGGUUAUGGCAGCUUUGUGAGCCACAGGGAUCCAGGGCUGCUGGGUGGGAAAGUAUGAUAUUGCCAUCCAUCAGUAGAUCAAAUAUUGAUCUUUCUCUUUGUGCCAGAACAUAACAAGCUCCGUCUCUGCCAUCAGGAAACUUUUAGUGGUAAGAAAUUUCCUUUAAAUUUCUGUGGUUCCUCUCCUUCCACAAGGAAGUUCAGUUUGGCACAGAUAGACCUGUAUUUGGAAUCUGGAAGAAAUCUUGUCUUGAAAAUAAUUACUUUCUCUGUAUUUUAGCUGGAUUGUACAUUAGAGUUUCACAUGCAUAAUCUUGUUUGAUUCCAGAAGGGCAAUGUGAAAUUGGAAGAGGCUUGGAGACCCACAGGUCCUGGGGUUUCUAGUCUGUGCUCCAUGGAGUCCAUGUCUGGAGGGGAGGGAGGGAAGAGACUCCUGGAAUAGCCUCUUUUGUUAUCUUACAUGUGGAAGCAUGAACCUCAGUUUGCAAAUCUAUGAGAUGCCACAUUUAAUUGGUAAGACAGUUCAUUGUGACCCAGAUGUCUUGAAUCCUUUAAACAGCACCGCCAGUGAAUUGAGGAUGAUAGAACACAUCAAAUUCAUGGUAACUGGGCAAACAGUGAAUCGAGUGAGAUCAGCAUUGAGAAGAGAAGAAACUUCACAACAACAAAAAGAAACAAACAGAAAGAACUUCACUAAACAGAAUAAUAAAGCACAUGAAUAUGAAAAGUAAAAUCCAGCAUGUUGAAAACUAAGGUGAAAAACAAAUGAACACUUAGUUUUCACACAAGACCAUCCCUACAUCCAUCUGCCACGUCUAAUCCUGGAGCUCACAGUACCAGCAAGGGCACAGACUCUUGAGAGUCCCUUGGACUGCAAGGAGAUCCAACCAGUCCAUUCUGAAGAUCAGUCCUGGAUGUUCUUUGGAAGGAAUGAUGCUGAAGCUGAAACUCCAAUACUCUGGCCACCUGAUGCAAAGAGUUGACUCAUUGGAAAAGACUCUGAUGCUGGGAGGGAUUGGGGACAGGAGGAGAAGGGGAUAACAGAGGAUGAGAUGGUUGGAUGAUAUCACUGACUCGAUGGAGGUGAGUCUGAGUGAACUCCGGGAGUUGGUGAUGGACAGGGAGGCUUGGCGUGCUGUGAUUCAUGGGGUCGCAAAGAGUCGGACACAACUGAGCGACUGAACUGAACUGAACUGAUUGCUGUUUUGAUUUGCGUGUUGAAUAUCUUUUCAUGUGAUAACUAUUCAUUUGUAUGUCGUCUUUAGGGGAAAAAAAAUGUCUAUUCAGGUUUUCUGCCCAUUUCUUGAUUUGGUUAGUUGUUUUUUCUAUAUGAGUUGUUGGUAUAUUUUGGAUAUUAAUCUCAUGUCAAUUAUAUCAUUGGCAAAUAUUUUUUCCCAUUUCAUAGGUUGCCUUUUCUUUUGUUUAGUUUGUUUUGUUUGCUAUGCAGAAGUUUUCAUGUUUAAUUA